CUGACUCAGUAGAAGGCAGCUUCCUAUGUUCCUGACUCAUAAGGAGCUCCCUCCUGAACCAGUCUGCAGCAGCAAGACAAGGACGCCGAGGCUGCUACUGUAUCUGAGCCCAGACACAUUUAUCAGGGCUUCGCUGGAGAAAGAUUGCACUAGUGCUCUGAUCGUGUCUUCCCAUCAUCAUGCAGGCUCUCUGGAAACUCUUCCUCUUCUCUCUGCUUCUCACUAUGGGGUCGUCUGCUGGCAUCACAACCAAUGGACUGCAAUGCCCAUCUUGCUAUUCUAACUCAAGCGCAUGCCGUGCGACAUUUGUCCAGAGAUGCGCGGGCGAUCAGUUCUACUGCUUUGAUAUGAGCGCAACGGAAACGGAUGGAAACCAUGUUGUUGCAAAGGGCUGCACGAAUGAGGCUCUCUGUAACGUUAAACAAGGUACCAGUAUCAAAAUUCCAUCUUUGCCUGUGCUUUCUGUUGUGGAAAUUAUCUGCAGACCAGCCAACAAAGCCUCUCUAUCAGCUGGAUCCCUCCUCCUGGCUCUCUCUGGGCUCCUGCUCCUGAAAAUCCUCAUAUGAUGCACCCCUUCUCUGACUCCGUACAUAAGCAGGCCUUCCUCUUAUUUCCAGGCAAUGUUCUUUCCUCCUAAGAUGGCCUCUCUGAAAGAUUCCAUGACUUCCUUGUUGUUUUACGGAGUGAACAUGAAUAAAAACGAGAAUGAAAUGUGA